ACGGAAGGCAGCAGUGAGGAAUAUUGGUCAAUGGAGGCAACUCUGAACCAGCCAUCUCGCGUGAAGGAAUACGGCCCUACGGGUCUUAAACUUCUUUUAUAGGGGGAUAAAGUGAGAUAUGUAUAUCUUUUUGUAGGUACCCUAUGAAUAAGCAUCGGCUAACUCCGUGCCAGCAGCCGCGGUAAUACGGAGGAUGCGAGCGUUAUCCGGAUUUAUUGGGUUUAAAGGGUGCGUAGGCUGUUCUUCAAGUCAGAGGUGAAAUACCGGGGCUCAACCCUGGAACUGCCUUUGAUACUGGAGGGCUUGAAUACUGUUGCCGUGGGAGGAAUGAGUAGUGUAGCGGUGAAAUGCAUAGAUAUUACUCAGAACACCGAUUGCGAAGGCAUCUCACGAAGCAGCGAUUGACGCUGAGGCACGAAAGCGUGGGGAUCAAACAGGAUUAGAUACCCUGGUA
rnacentral:rRNA from 1 species